rnacentral:rRNA from 1 species
GUGAGGAAUAUUGCGCAAUGGAGGCAACUCUGACGCAGCCAUGCCGCGUGCAGGAAGAAGGCCCUACGGGUCGUAAACUGCUUUUAUCCGGGAAGAACUCCCCCGACGUGUCGGGGGCUGACGGUACCGGAAGAAUAAGCACCGGCUAACUCCGUGCCAGCAGCCGCGGUAAUACGGAGGGUGCAAGCGUUAUCCGGAUUCAUUGGGUUUAAAGGGUGCGUAGGCGGGGCGAUAAGUCAGUGGUGAAAUCCUGCAGCCUAACUGUAGAACUGCCAUUGAUACUGUCGUCCUUGAGUGCGCUCGACGUGGGCGGAAUGUGCCGUGUAGCGGUGAAAUGCUUAGAUAUGGCACAGAACACCGAUAGUGAAGACAGCUCACGAGGGCGAAACUGACGCUGAGGCACGAAAGCGUGGGGAUCGAACAGGAUUAGAAACCCGGGUAGUCC